rnacentral:rRNA from 1 species
CCUACGGGAGACAGCAGUGGGGAAUAUUGCACAAUGGGCGAAAGCCUGAUGCAGCAACGCCGCGUGAGCGAUGAAGGCCUUCGGGUCGUAAAGCUCUGUCCUCAAGGAAGAUAAUGACGGUACUUGAGGAGGAAGCCCCGGCAAACUAAGUGCCAGCAGCCGCGGUAAUACGUAGGGGGCUAGCGUUAUCCGGAAUUACUGGGCGUAAGGGGUGCGUAGGUGGUUUCUUAAGUCAGAGGUGAAAGGCUACGGCUCAACCGUAGUAAGCCUUUGAAACUGGGGAACUUGAGUGCAGGAGAGGAGGGUGGAAUUCCUAGUGUAGCGGUGAAAUGCGUAGAUAUUAGGAGGAACACCAGUUGCGAAGGCAGCUCUCUGGACUGUAACUGACACUGAGGCACGAAAGCGUGGGGAGCAAACAGGAUUAGAUACCCCGGUAGUC